ACUGAAAAAAACAAGUGCUGUGUUCUUAUUUGAGCUGCGGUUACAAGUGACAAAGGAAGUGUUUCGUUUCUCUUAUAUCACAGUUUCCAUGAGCCCUGCACACCAAAGUUGAAACUGUAUGAGUGGAACAAAGACCAGCUCUAUGAAAAAAAUGGCAGAGGAAAGCGACAGACAGCAGUACAUAAUUGUGGUUUCUCUGCUCUGUACCUGCAUUCUCAUAUUCCAACUGGCCUGUGGGGACACAUAAUCCCAGCAAACCUGAUUAAAAUGGGAUUUCCAGUAUCUGACGUCAAAGGGAAUCCUAGCCCAUCUAUCACUGCUGCGGCUUCAGUUCUGGUGGCGUUUGGAAUAACAGGCCGUGUGUGUAUGAAUCCGUCAGUUACAAGAGGCAGAUCUGAAAAUACCCCAAACUGUAGAGCUGAUCCAUAAAGGAAGCCAAAGCAUUGGAUGGAGGAUACCAAGCUAUUUAUGGAAGUCCACCCUGAAGGCCUGUUUCAGGUCUCUGAGGAAGUGUUGUAUCACGAAACGCGUCAGACCUCAGGUGCUAAGUUUGUUUGAUUGAUACUAUGUCUUAAUAAAGAAUUUACCUUUUAACUA